UACGGGGGGGGCAAGCGUUGUUCGGAAUUACUGGGCGUAAAGGGCUCGUAGGUGGCCAACUAAGUCAGACGUGAAAUCCCUCGGCUUAACCGGGGAACUGCGUCUGAUACUGGAUGGCUUGAGUUUGGGAGAGGGACGCGGAAUUCCAGGUGUAGCGGUGAAAUGCGUAGAUAUCUGGAGGAACACCGGUGGCGAAGGCGGCGUCCUGGACCAACACUGACACUGAGGAGCGAAAGCCAAGGGAGCAAACGGG
rnacentral:rRNA from 1 species